GCAGGCCUAACACAUGCAAGUCGAGCGGAUGAGAGGAGCUUGCUCCUGGAUUCAGCGGCGGACGGGUGAGUAAUGCCUAGGAAUCUGCCUGGUAGUGGGGGACAACGUUUCGAAAGGAACGCUAAUACCGCAUACGUCCUACGGGAGAAAGCAGGGGACCUUCGGGCCUUGCGCUAUCAGAUGAGCCUAGGUCGGAUUAGCUAGUUGGUGAGGUAAUGGCUCACCAAGGCGACGAUCCGUAACUGGUCUGAGAGGAUGAUCAGUCACACUGGAACUGAGACACGGUCCAGACUCCUACGGGAGGCAGCAGUGGGGAAUAUUGGACAAUGGGCGAAAGCCUGAUCCAGCCAUGCCGCGUGUGUGAAGAAGGUCUUCGGAUUGUAAAGCACUUUAAGUUGGGAGGAAGGGCAGUAAAUUAAUACUUUGCUGUUUUGACGUUACCGACAGAAUAAGCACCGGCUAACUCUGUGCCAGCAGCCGCGGUAAUACAGAGGGUGCAAGCGUUAAUCGGAAUUACUGGGCGUAAAGCGCGCGUAGGUGGUUCGUUAAGUUGAAUGUGAAAUCCCCGGGCUCAACCUGGGAACUGCAUCCAAAACUGGCGAGCUAGAGUAUGGUAGAGGGUGGUGGAAUUUCCUGUGUAGCGGUGAAAUGCGUAGAUAUAGGAAGGAACA
rnacentral:rRNA from 1 species